ACACAUGUUGUUGAUGGGCGGACUUUCUCUAUCAGGGAGGCUCAGCUGGAGCAACAGAGCAGCAUUUCUGGAGGAGGGCAUAUCAGUUUUGACACCUGUUUUCAGAAUCAUCCACAGAAGGUAAGGCUGGACGAAAUGUUUCCUGUUGUGAAUAUUUAGAAGAGAGUCUGAGAAUCAGAAAGUAUUUUACGGAGCAUUGAUGAAAGGUUCAACAACUGUGUCUUGUGACGGCAGUCAUUGAUUUUUUUCCUAUUGGGAAUAUGAGGGUAUCCACAGUCAACGGGAAACGAGGGGAGGCCCAGUCAACCCCAGCACCCCAAGGAUGAUUGCUUGCUCACGGGAACUGAGCAGACUAUGAACUCAAUAGCCAUAGACUUUGGACUCCCAGACAGGUGUGACAAGCAACAGCCGGGCAGAUGAGGGACUUUACACCAGAGGCCAGCAGAUACCACAAAGCAGAUGCCUUCAUGCCUGCAGGAGCCCAGGGGCCCUCUCUUCCUCAACGGCCACAGAACGAAACAGCCACACUCCCCAUCCCCCAACAUCAGAUGCCAUCUUAGGGAAAGAAGCCAGAGGGAGGCAAGGCCAUCUGAGAGAGUGAGCGAUUAUACAAGAGAAGCAAUUAGAAUCAUCAAGUGAUUACACGAGUAAAAAUCAUCAAGUGAUUUACACAAGUGAUUAUAAAAGAGAAAUAAUUGAGGCCGGGCAUGGGGGCUCAUGCCUGUGAUCCCAGCACUUUGGGAGGCCGAGGUGGGCAGAUCACCUGAGGUCAGGAGUUUGAGACCAGCCUGAUCAACAUGGUGAAACCUUGUGUCUACUAAAAAUACAAAAUUAGCCUGGUGCAGUGCUGCAUGCCUGUAAUCCCAGCUACUUGAAAGGCUGAGGCAGGAGAAUCGCUUGAACCCAGGAGGCAGAGGUUGCGGUGAGCUGAGAUUGCUCCAUUGCACUCCAACCUGGGCAACAGGAGCAAAACUCCGUCUCAAAAAAAAUAAAUACAUAAAAAUAAAAUAAAAGAGAAAUAAUUUAAAUUUUGGAGUGGGGUAAGCUUUAACCUGGAUGAGCCAUUUCAUGAAAAUGUUCCCAGUAGCCAAUGGAUGGGGACAGAGAAAAAUAAAAAUGAUCCAGUUAUUUAUAGACCAAAUUAAAUCAUGGUGGGUUAAUCUAUAUGUCAAAUGGUACCUGCAUGAAUUGGCAACCCUGCUGCACAAUUGGUUACGUAACACUUGUUACACAUCAGAUCCUAUCCCAGAAGUGGGGGACAAAUUCCAGUUUAAGACAGAGGCAGCUGGGAAACAAUUACUAUAGCACUCUUGGUCAGCUCUGUGUUGGGGGAAUGCCUCAGAAGCCCAGGGGCCCAGAAGAAGGUUAUUUAAUUCAGAAUACAGGCUCAGAGAAGGCUUCCUGGGAGUUGGGACCUGAGCUGAAUUUGGAAGGACAAGCAGGUGUUACCUAUUUGGAAGGACAAGCAGGUGUUACCUAGAACUUAGAUUCUAAAUGAACAAACAGAGGAAGCACUUCCAAGGCCAGAACAGCAGUGGGGAGGCACAGAGGUGAGAAGCCCGUGAUGAGGUCAGGGGAGGGAGAGGAGCCUACACACCUGGGUGUGCAGAAGAACCAAGAGAUGAGGCCAGAGGGAUAAGCGGGGGUCAAUCAGGAAAAGACUUGGGAGGUGAGCUAAGAUGUUUGAAUUUUGUUUUGAAGCUUUGAAGAAUUAUUGAAAGUAGUGGGCACCUGUGAUCCCAGCUACUCAGGAGGCUGAGGCAGAAGAAUCAUUUAAGCCCAGGAGGCAGAG
rnacentral:lncRNA from 10 species